rnacentral:rRNA from 1 species
AUGCCAACCAUUGAUGAGGCAUCUCAGUACUUCUUGAAGAGCAAGCAGGAUCAGCUUGGCUACUUGAUUGCCUCCACUCUGAGGAUUGAGAAGGGAUUGGCCACCCUGACUCAAAACCAGGAGAGCCUGGAGAGGAUCAUGGAGCAGAAGUUCUAUGACUUGGAUGUGAAGGUCAUUAAGAUACAGUCAGUUGUUGAGCAACUUCAGGAUGACAUGCAGGAGAGGAAGGGCAAGACUACUACUGAUGCUUUCGCUAGAGUGCCCAGGAGUCAGAGAUCAGCUGCAGUGCCAGUUCCAGACACCAAAGCAACUUCAUCUGCACCAGCUACAGCUUCUGUGCAACCAGCUCCAGCACCUACUCCACCAGCU